rnacentral:rRNA from 1 species
UGGAUCAUCUACCUUCAGGUGGGGGAUAACCCGGGGAAACUCGGGCUAAUACCGCAUAACAUCGCGAGAUCAAAGGGGCGCAAGUCCCGCCAGAAGAGGAGUCCGCGUUCGAUUAGCUAGUUGGUAGGGUAAUGGCCUACCAAGGCCACGAUCGAUAGCCGGCCUGAGAGGGUGAUUGGCCACACUGGAACUGAGACACGGUCCAGACUCCUACGGGAGGCAG